UAUAUAUAUAUAUUCUGCCAAGGUUGCAAAAGCAAACAUAGGGUAACUGUGGGCUCAACAGAAGCAAUUUCUUCUAGGUUUUUCCACAGGCAGGGGCAGGGAGAGUUACCUGGCUGAUUUCCUAUGAUCCCCAAUUAAUUCAGCCCACACUGACUGAAUGUCUUCUCCAUGCCCAGCACCGCGCUAAGUGGUGUGUGUACCGAGUCCCAUCAGAGUUGACCCUCUCCUUGGUCAACUUGAGCAAUGGAAACUGAACAUUCAUCCCAGUGCCCCGGGUUAACACGUGCUGGGGCAUCAUCCAGCUUCUGUUAUUUACCAAAGGCAGAGCUUAUUUCAAAUGACCCACUCCCUUCACUGGGAGCCAGAGUGAAGGAGGCUGGGCAGGAAACCAGCCAGGCUAGCUGGAGCCCACCAGCAUGGCCUGGGGUCUGGCUUAUGUUAAUCCACCAGUUCCUGCAGCCCUAAUCAGGUCCUGAGGGACCAAGUUAUUCUAAGUAAUCAACAAGAAUGGGAAUAAUGAAACAGGAAACUAAUGUGUUCGUUUAUAAGUAAAUUCCUUGAGUCCAGCAGCAACACGAUUACUGCUGCUGCGCUAUUGUUCUCUCCUGUUGGAUGAGGCAAGCUGAGACCGCUGUAUAAGCUAAAGGUUGCUCAGAAUGUAGAAAGACCACAAAGGGACCUGGGAAUUAUUUAGAGGGAGGCAAGUGGUAUAGUAAAAAGAGGGUGGCCAGAUGAAAUUGGCUGGAAAUCGUGGCUCCAGCACUUAUUAACUAUGUGAAUUUGGGCAGGUUACCUUAAAGUCUGUGUCAGUUUCUCCACAAACAAAAUGAGCACAGUAACACCUAACUUACACAGCUGUUUUAAAGAGUAAGUGCGAUGAUGUAUGGAAAAGUCCAGGCACAAACUAGAUAUCACCAAGUGCUCACUUCCUUUUAACUAUUUUUAUAGAUAACUUUCAACUGCAAGGUGAUACAUCAUGUUAAUUACUGAAUAUGGAAAAUGUUUGAUAAGCUAAAAGGAAAAAACUAAAAUCUCCCACAGUUCCAUCAGCCAGAGAAAACUUUUCAAGAGAACACUUUAGAGACAGCAGCUCCAAAUGGCCUACUUGUCACUGAUUGAAGAAGACGCUGACCUGAAAUAAAAACAGUUCCUAGGACCCAUCAAGGCCUUAACUAGAAAGGGGAAUGCUCUGUAAACACCUUGAGAGAAGAGAUUGUCUGUCUUAUCACAACUGUACCCCAGUGCCUCACAGGAUACCUGGAAUGGGGUAUGAGGGGGUCAAUUAAUGUUGAGUGAAUGAAUGAAUGAUCUGAUUAUGGAAAGGGGCUCCCUAAGCUUUUCAGGGGUUGAAAAACUUGGGCAGAGUGAUGAGCUAAGAUUUGUGGGUUUUAACCUCUGUAUUGAGUCUUAGUGUGUUACAGGACGGUAUUGGUGACCAACAAAUAUUCACUGGGUAAUUGA